rnacentral:antisense_RNA from 1 species
UCCUAACCUUAUUUUUUUGGAAAGCAUAUUUUGAAUUUCUG